GCCUCUGUGGUACAACGUUAGCACACCCGGCUCGUAUUACGGAGGUCCAGGUUCGAGUCCCGGCGAGGGCA
rnacentral:tRNA from 1 species